AUUAUCAUCCCUCAAGCCCGGCUUGUCCUUGAACCUCUUGUCGUCAAAGACGGGUUCGAAAGAUAAUGACGGUGUCGUGUCGACCCUAGAUUGCAACGAGCUUUUUACAGCACGCAUUUUAGCGGUUGGCCGGCCCGGUCUUUAACCUUAAUUUUUCUAUGGUUGACCUCGGAUCAGGUAGGAUUACCCGCUGAACUUAA
rnacentral:misc_RNA from 1 species